UCCAGGGUAGCCUAGUGGUCAUGGCAUCUGCCCAGUAAGCGGAAGGUCGUGGGUUCGAUUUGUUGGGAG